rnacentral:rRNA from 1 species
AAAAUGUCGUAACAAGGUUUCCGUAGGUGAACCUGCGGAAGGAUCAUUACUGAAAUGUAAUAACUUCUAUUGAAAGGUUCCAGAGUAGGCGCUACAACGCCGAAAUGACCUUCUCACCCUUGUGUACUCACUAUGUUGCUUUGGCGGGUCGACCUGGUUCCGACCCAGGCGGCCGGCGCCCCCAGCCUUAACUGGCCAGGACGCCCGGCUAAGUGCCCGCCAGUAUACAAAACUCAAGAAUUCAUAUUGUGAAGUCCUGAUAUAUCAUUUAAUUGAUUUAAAACUUUCAACAACGGAUCUCUUGGUUCUGGCAUCGAUGAAGAACGCAGCGAAAUGCGAUAAGUAAUGUGAAUUGCAGAAUUCAGUGAAUCAUCGAAUCUUUGAACGCACAUUGCGCCCUCUGGUAUUCCGGAGGGCAUGCCUGUUCGAGCGUCAUUUCAACCCUCAAGCUCUGCUUGGUAUUGGGCAACGUCCGCUGCCGGACGUGCCUUGAAGACCUCGGCGACGGCGUCCUAGCCUCGAGCGUAGUAGUAAAAUAUCUCGCUUUGGAGUGCUGGGCGACGGCCGCCGGACAAUCGACCUUCGGUCUAUUUUUCCAAGGUUGACCUCGGAUCAGGUAGGGAUACCCGCUGAACUUAAGCAUA